rnacentral:rRNA from 1 species
UACGUAGGGCGCAAGCGUUGUCCGGAAUUAUUGGGCGUAAAGAGCUCGUAGGCGGUUUGUCGCGUCUGCUGUGAAAACCCGAGGCUCAACCUCGGGCCUGCAGUGGGUACGGGCAGACUAGAGUGUGGUAGGGGAGACUGGAAUUCCUGGUGUAGCGGUGGAAUGCGCAGAUAUCAGGAGGAACACCAAUGGCGAAGGCAGGUCUCUGGGCCACAACUGACGCUGAGGAGCGAAAGCGUGGGGAGCGAACGGG